rnacentral:tRNA from 1 species
GCGAGUGUAGCUCAGCUGGUAGAGCAUCACGUUGCCAACGUGAUUGUCGCCGGUUCGAAUCCGGUCACUCGCUCCA